AGCAGCAAUUAAAUGGCUCGUUGGAAACUUCGUCGCAAUAACUCACGCACGAUCUGUUUUGAGAAAUCAGUGUCUGGUUUAGUUUCUGAUACCGAUGAAUGUUGAUCACCGGCAUCUCGGCAGAUGCACCAGAUCCUCUAUCUCCACUGAAUACAGACACAAAUGAGGAUGAAAUAGGUAAACUCGAAUUAGACUCAGGAGACUGCAGUACAUUUGAAGAAAUUCCUACACCAGGAUUAUCUUCCUCGUUCAUUAGCGCUCCAUCAACAUCAGAAGGUGUUUCUACCUGCAAGUCUAUAAAGAAACCAAUGAAAGAAGAUCCAUUAUGGGCAAUGAUUAUUAAGCUACAUCAGAUGGAAAGAGAUGAUGCUACUGAGGUAACACAACUGGUAAUGUGUAUACUGAGAUGGAUCAAGUGAAGAGAACCGGCACAGAGAAAUUUGCAGAUGUCUUGUUUGAUGUCCAGCUUAAGAAUCUCAUUAGAUACACUACACUAACAGCACUGGAAGUCCAAGUAAUUUUCGACAGUCUAUGCCCAACAUGCAACGAUCUCAAAGGUCUACUCAAUUUCGAGAUUUUCCAAUGCAUCUUUUAUCUUGCGGAGUAUAUCGCCAAAAAUGUAGUGGUGAAAUGAAAUGAAGUGAUCGUAUGGCACUGUUGGCUGGGAGGCCCCAUGUGGGGAAGUUCGGCCGCCAUAUUGCAAGUCCUUUUUAGUUGACGCCACUUCGGCGACUUGCGAGUCAAUGAUGAUGAAGAACACACAACACCCAGUCAUCAUGAGGCAGAGAAAAUCCCCAACACCACUGGGAAUCGAACCCGGGACCCCGUACACGGGAAGUGAAAACGCUACCGCAAGAACAUGAGCAGCGGACUUAAUCUUGAUUUAUCCAUUCGUAGCAGAUGGGAUAUCCAUUUUUUUUUUUUUUUUGGCAUUCGCUAACCUUACUGUUUAUAUCUAAAAUAUUUAAUUCCUUCCUGGUAUCUAUAUUUCUUUUGUUGUCUAGCUUGGUGUAUCCUGCUAUGUACCUGAGGAAUUUAA